UGGUUUUGGGAGAGUAUGGGACUCUUAAUCCCAGGGUCGUGGGUUCAAGCCCCAC
rnacentral:tRNA from 1 species